CCUACGGGAGGCUGCAGUGGGGAAUAUUGGACAAUGGGGGCAACCCUGAUCCAGCCAUGCCGCGUGUGUGAAGAAGGCCCUCGGGUUGUAAAGCACUUUCAGUGAGGAAGAACGCCUGGUGGUUAAUACCCAUCAGGAAAGACAUCACUCACAGAAGAAGCACCGGCUAACUCCGUGCCAGUAGCCGCGGUAAUACGGAGGGUGCGAGCGUUAAUCGGAAUUACUGGGCGUAAAGCGCGCGUAGGUGGCUUGAUAAGCCGGUUGUGAAAGCCCCGGGCUCAACCUGGGAACGGCAUCCGGAACUGUCAAGCUAGAGUGCAGGAGAGGAAGGUAGAAUUCCCGGUGUAGCGGUGAAAUGCGUAGAGAUCGGGAGGAAUACCAGUGGCGAAGGCGGCCUUCUGGACUGACACUGACACUGAGGUGCGAAAGCGUGGGUAGCAAACAGGAUUAGAUACCCCUGUAGUC
rnacentral:rRNA from 1 species